GUCUCAGACGAGACAGGAAGCUUAUAUGCACGGCAUGUGCCUUCGGUGCCCAGGCUAUGGAGGAAAGAACACAGACAGUCUUCCUGAAGUGGGGCAGAUAAAACUGCUGAAAGUGAAGGAGAAUUAAGGUGAUACCUGGUGAUCAUUCAAAAAGCCUCGGACUUCCGCUCUUAAGAAGAUGGAACAGGCGUGCGUUUGCCUCCUUCCCGCAGGUGCAACUGGAAACCUCCGGCAGUGCCCAUCAAACAAACGCAGGAAGAGGAGGGGCGGAGAGAGGAAGCCCGGGGGAGCCGGGGGACCCUGAGAACGAUAGAGUGGGGCGUUCCUGGGUUUUCUUUUUGACUCUUCCACCCCAAACUGGGUGCUCACGAGCGCAGGAAUAGCCCCCGCUGCUGCCUCCAGCCAGGGCACCGGAAGAGGACCCCCAUUUCUCUUAAUGUAGGAUUGGAGGGCACAAGCGGAGGAGCAAAGGGGUGUCACGGUCAGAAUCGCCUAAAAGGCAACGAGGAGCAGAAGCGCAGGCCUGCGAGGUGCUCUUCAGAGUGACUUCGCUGUGGGCUGUGGAAGGCAACAGAAGGAACUCGGCAUCCACUGGCCACAUUCUCCUCCCCGGAGCUGAGGACAGAGUUGAGUCUCUUCAGGCAGUGGAUCCAGCCAGCUCUGCCACGGGGAAGGGGCGCGCAGCUGCCACGCACCGCAGGCGGCGCUGACACACUUGGCCUUUGAGCAACACUGUGAAUCAUCUAGAAACAGCAGACAGCUCUAAAACACAUUACCCAGCAACAUGGCACAUUUUCCAGGGUAGACCAUAUGCUACCCUAUGCUAUAAGAGAAGCUGUAAUAUAUUU